rnacentral:rRNA from 1 species
AUUGAACGCUGGCGGCAGGCCUAACACAUGCAAGUCGAACGCGUGGCGGACGGGUGAGUAAUGUCUGGGAAACUGCCCGAUGGAGGGGGAUAACUCUUGUAAACGGUAGCUAAUACACCAUACCAUCUGAGGUGCGCCGAUGGGAUUAGAUUGUAGGUGAGGUAACGGCUCACCUAGGCGACGAUCCCUAGCUGGUCUGAGAGGAUGACCAGCCACACUGGAACUGAGACACGGUCCAGACUCCUACGGGAGGCAGCAGUGGGGAAUAUUGCACAAUGGGCGCAAGCCUGAUACAGCCAUGCCGCGUGUAUGAAGAAGGCCUUCGGGUUGUAAAGUACUUUCAGCGGGGAGGCGUUACCUGAAGAAGAAGCACCGGCUAACUCCGUGCCAGCAGCCGCGGUAAUUC